AAUAGAUACCCUGGUAGUCCACGCCGUAAACGAUGAGUGCUAAGUGUUAAAGGGUUUCCGCCCUUUAGUGCUGCAGCUAACGCAUUAAGCACUCCGCCUGGGGAGUACGGCCGCAAGGCUGAAACUCAAAGGAAUUGACGGGGGCCCGCACAAGCGGUGGAGCAUGUGGUUUAAUUCGAAGCAACGCGAAGAACCUUACCAGGUCUUGACAUCCUCUGACACUCCUAGAGAUAGGACUUUUCCCUUCGGGGAACAGAGUGACAGGUGGUGCAUGGUUGUCGUCAGCUCGUGUCGUGAGAUGUUGGGUUAAGUCCCGCAACGAGCGCAACCCUUGAUCUUAGUUGCCAGCAUUCAGUUGGGCACUCUAAGGUGACUGCCGGUGACAAACCGGAGGAAGGUGGGGAUGACGUCAAAUCAUCAUGCCCCUUAUGACCUGGGCUACACACGUGCUACAAUGGAUGGUACAAAGGGCUGCAAGACCGCGAGGUUUAGCCAAUCCCAUAAAACCAUUCUCAGUUCGGA
rnacentral:rRNA from 1 species